rnacentral:antisense_RNA from 1 species
UUUCAGAGAGGUCGCUUGGGUCCAUCAGAGUCUCUGCUGUCACUACCUGCAAGAGGGGACCGGAAGCCAGUGGGCAGGGGCUGAGUGCUCCCCCACAGCACCUCUCCUCUUUGAUCUCACCUGUGCUUUGAGGCCUCCUGAUUCCUCCCUGCUGGAGCCCAGAGUUCCAGAGGCACCUGAGCAGGGCAGGCUUCCAGACAGGCCAGGGCGCCCCAGCAGAGGCACCCGACGAGAUGGGGAGGGCUGGGGAGGGCAGCCUGGGGCAGGAGGGCUUGGGGGACAGGCUCACCUCCACACUGCCAGUCUGGGAUCGUAGCAUGCGGCCCACCCACGAGGAGCGGGCCAGCUGCAGGAGGCAGGACUUCUGCAAGUUCUGCAGCUCGGCCUCCAUCUCCUGGAGCGUGCGAGUGGUCUGCAGCAGCCGCUCCUCCAGGUGCUCCUUCUCCUGCUCCAAGAGGGCCCGUGGUUCGUGGUGGGGGGGGUGUCUUCUGCAGAAGGCCCCCAGGCCAGCCCCAGCCUGGCUCCCCAACACCAGGACCCUGCCCACUCCCUGUGCCCCUGCCUCACCCACUGGGCUCGCUCCUUCUGUUUCUUCAACUCCUGGGUCAGCUUCUGGACCUGGUUCUGCAGGAGUUUCUCCUGACUGUGGGAGCUCCUGGAGGAGGGGUGACCUCAGCAGCCCCCACCCUGCUCAGGCAGGGUCCCUAAUGUCAGGUCAGGGGAGAAGGAGGGGAGAAGGAGGGGCUCCACUGCCACCUUGGCCCCAAGGGCACACAGUACAGCCCCGCUGGGGCUGGCCAGCCUCCGGCUGGUCUGGGCAAGGAUCUAGAACCCAUCCACAUGCGCAAGGUUAGGGUGGAGGCUAUAGCGUGUUUACUUAGGAUCAGGGUGGAGGGUCAGCGCCGGCAAGGAUGAGGUUAAGGAUCUGCCUCAGCGGUUGGGGUUGGGGUCAGACAGAAACCAGGAGUCCGGGCGAGGACAGGGCAGGGUUGGGUUGGGCUGGGGACUGUGCUGCAGACCUCUUGGGCGGAAGCCCCGCCACCUCUUCCAGGAUGUGGCAGAGCCGGGCGUCCUCGCCAUUCUGGACGGCCCACCGCAAGGCCUGGAUCUCCAGUUCUCGCUGUCUCCACAACAGCCGCAGUGUGCGAGGGUCCAGGGACUCAAGAGCCAACCUGCAGCAGCAGCAGACCCUGCUGCUUACUCAGGCCGGGCCCUGGCCACCUGGCCCAGGAGGCUCAGCAGUCCUCCCUCUCCUCCUUACUGCGGGUCGGCAGAGCAGACCACCGGUGCGGGGUGGGGCGUGGUGUCUGGCAGGCAUGUGGGAGUCUCGGGGGCUGCAGGUGCGCCUGCUGGAGGUCCCAGGUGACCACUGACCGACUCUUGCUCUGUGGGGGACAGGAGAGCCUCUUCCUCGGUUUCUUCAAUCUCCUGGCCAGACUUGGGGGCCAUUCUCAAUGUUCUUCGGGACCUGGGAGGGGUGGGGGGCCCGUCUGCCGUGUGCGCCUCGUGUGGCCACACAGGUUGGAGCAGCCCAGGCGUCACCACUUACUCACAGAGCGUUGCUCUCUGAAGGGACCCACAUGUGGGUGUCCACACCCGUGUGUUUCUGACCAGGCUGGGGCAGCACGUCACCACCCGACAUGUCCCUGGUGUGUCCCCCUGCCACCCAGGUGCUGGCCCUUUGCCUGUGAUGUGGUGUCCCUCUUUCUCUCUCUUGUCCCCCCCAGCUCAGGACCCUACCCCCAGCACUCACCUGAGGCCCGACCUCCAAGCAGGCCUGGGAGGGAAGGGCUGUAUACCGUUGCCAUGGAUACCAGCACCCAGAAGGGGUGGGGCUGUUUGUUACCAGGAGCCUCCAGGGAGACCCCAGACCACGCCCCUGGAGACAGGGUCUUGCUCUGCUGUCCAGGCUGGAAUGCUUCGGUGUGAUGACAGCUCCCGUUAACGUCGAAUUCCUGGGCUCAAGUGAUCCUCCCACUUCCGCCUCCUGACUUGCUGAAACUACAGGCACCUGCCUCCACCGCCAGGCCCAGCCCACAGCUCCUUUGACCUCAGUGACAGGCACUCACCUACCUGACCCCCAAACUGAAGCCUCACCUUUCCCAGCCGUCUCCACACCCUCUGGGCUACCCCAUUACCAUGACAAGUAUUCCCUCUGCUCCAGGAGAAAAGCGAGGUCCCAGACCUGACCCAUAAAACCCAAUCAUUCC